rnacentral:rRNA from 1 species
GUGCCAGCCGCCGCGGUAAUACGGAGGGUGCAAGCGUUAAUCGGAACUACUGGGCGUAAAGCGCGCGUAGGCGGCGUGAUAAGCCGGUUGUGAAAGCCCCGGGCUCAACCUGGGAACGGCAUCCGGAACUGUCAGGCUAGAGUGCAGGAGAGGAAGGUAGAAUUCCCGGUGUAGCGGUGAAAUGCGUAGAGAUCGGGAGGAAUACCAGUGGCGAAGGCGGCCUUCUGGACUGACACUGACGCUGGGGUGCGAAAGCGUGGGUAGCAAACAGGAUUAGAAACCCGAGUAGUCC